AAUGCAGCGACAUUCUGGACAAUACCUGUGGAUGUAUCAAUGCACUUCCUCCAAAUAACACUUACUGCCAGCCACUAUCAGAUCUUGACUCCUGCCCAACACAACCACCAACAACUGAGCCAACUGUUACAACACCUCUGAUCAUUA